rnacentral:rRNA from 1 species
CAGUCGCCGCGGUAAUACGUAGGUCCCGAGCGUUGUCCGGAUUUAUUGGGCGUAAAGGGAGCGCAGGCGGUUUAGUAAGUCUGAAGUUAAAGGCAUUGGCUCAACCAAUGUAUGCUUUGGAAACUGUUAGACUUGAGUGCAGAAGGGGAGAGUGGAAUUCCAUGUGUAGCGGUGAAAUGCGUAGACAUAUGGAGGAACACCGGUGGCGAAAGCGGCUCUCUGGUCUGUCACUGACGCUGAGGCUCGAAAGCGUGGGUAGCGAACAGGAUUAGAUACCCCCGUAGUCCCUGUCUCUUAUACA